CACCACCACCAUCUCCGGUUUACUACUACAAGUCACCACCACCACCGGCUCCAACCUAUGUCUACAAAUCUCCACCACCACCAACUCCGACUUACGUCUACAAGUCGCCGCCUCCUCCAACCCCAACAUAUGUCUACAAAUCGCCUCCUCCUCCUACCCCAACAUACGUAUACAAGUCUCCUCCACCACCAACUCCAACUUACGUAUACAAAUCACCACCACCGCCGACUCCAACUUACGUCUACAAGUCGCCUCCUCCACCUACGCCAACCUAUGUCUAUAAAUCUCCACCGCCACCAACCCCGACUUAUGUUUACAAGUCACCACCACCUCCGACUCCGACAUACAUUUACAAGUCUCCACCACCUCCUACUCCGACUUAUGUCUACAAGUCACCACCUCCACCAACCCCUACAUAUGUCUAUAAGUCACCACCUCCACCCACUCCGACCUACGUCUACAAGUCACCACCACCUCCAACUCACACUCCUACACCAUACUACUACCAUUCUCCACCACCACCAGUAAAAUCCCCUCCACCUCCUUAUUACUACCACUCACCACCACCACCGGUUAAAUCUCCACCACCACCAUACUACUAUCAUUCACCACCUCCUCUGGUGAAGUCUCCUCCACCACCAUACUAUUACCAUUCACCACCACCUCCAGUAAAAUCUCCUCCCCCCCCAUACUACUAUCACUCCCCACCUCCUCCAGUGAAGUCUCCUCCGCCACCUUACUAUUAUCACUCCCCACCUCCUCCAGUAAAAUCACCACCACCACCAUAUUAUUACCACUCUCCACCUCCUCCCGUGAAAUCCCCCCCACCUCCAUACUACUACCACUCACCACCCCCUCCGGUAAAAUCACCCCCACCACCAUAUUACUAUCACUCCCCACCUCCACCAGUGAAAUCCCCACCACCACCGUACUACUACCAUUCUCCACCCCCACCGGUAAAAUCUCCGCCACCACCAUACUAUUACCACUCCCCACCUCCUCCGGUGAAAUCUCUACCACCACCGUACUAUUACCAUUCACCACCUCCUCCGGUGAAAUCUCCUCCUCCACCAUACUACUAUCACUCACCUCCUCCACCAGUAAAAUCUCCUCCGCCACCGUACUAUUACCACUCUCCACCUCCUCCAGUGAAGUCGCCUCCACCUCCUUAUUACUACCACUCACCUCCUCCUCCGGUGAAAUCCCCACCACCACCAUAUUAUUACCACUCACCACCCCCACCCGUCAAAUCUCCUCCACCUCCAUAUUAUUACCACUCACCACCUCCUCCGGUGAAAUCUCCACCACCACCAUAUUAUUACCACUCACCUCCUCCUCCGGUGAAAUCUCCACCACCACCAUAUUACUACCAUUCACCUCCCCCUCCAGUCAAAUCUCCACCACCACCAUAUUACUACCAUUCACCUCCCCCUCCAGUGAAAUCCCCACCACCACCAUAUUACUACCAUUCACCACCUCCUCCAGUGAAAUCUCCACCACCACCAUACUACUACAACUCUCCACCACCACCAGUAAAAUCUCCCCCACCUCCCGUCUACAUCUACGCUUCUCCCCCACCUCCUACCCAUUACUAGGCUCGUCAAAUUCAACCAAGUUUCCCCAUUAUUCAAGUAAGUCCCAAGGCUCCAAUAUUCUAAGUAUGCUCCAUAUC
rnacentral:lncRNA from 1 species